UACGUAGGGUGCAAGCGUUGUCCGGAAUUAUUGGGCGUAAAGAGCUCGUAGGCGGUUUGUCGCGUCUGCCGUGAAAAUCCGAGGCUCAACCUCGGACUUGCGGUGGGUACGGGCAGACUAGAGUGUGGUAGGGGAGACUGGAAUUCCUGGUGUAGCGGUGAAAUGCGCAGAUAUCAGGAGGAACACCGAUGGCGAAGGCAGGUCUCUGGGCCACUACUGACGCUGAGAAGCGAAAGCAUGGGGAGCGAACAGG
rnacentral:rRNA from 1 species